rnacentral:rRNA from 1 species
AUGGGUCACGUGAUAAACAUCACACUGAUGAACCUGUCGAACAACCAGCUGAACGGGACAGUCCCGGCUUCCAUCUGCGGCUUGCCGAAGCUCGAGCGGCUCUCCCUUUCCAACAACGCCCUGAGGGGCAUGAUCCCAGCGUGCAUAGGCAACGCGACGAGCCUCGGCGCGCGAGCUGGAUCUGUCAGGCAAUGCACUGUCUGGGAGCAUCCCAAGCGUCAUCGGGACUGGGCUUGUCAACCGGCUGUCCGGGGAGAUACCGGCAAACUGCCUUGCCGAAUGCAUCCGCUUGCUGCACCUUGA